rnacentral:rRNA from 1 species
UUAUGUCUUGACGAGUAAGAGGGUCGCGGCGGUGAGCGCAGAAGGGUCAGGGCGAGAGCCUGCCUGGAGCCGCCGUCGGCGCAGAUCUUGGUGGUAGUAGCAAAUACUCUAGCGAGGGCCUGGAGGACUGACGUGGAGAAGGGUUUCUUGUGAACAGCCGUUGCACAAGAGUCAGUCGACCCUGAGCCCUAGGAGAAAUCCAAUGUCGAUGGGUAGCUUGACAAAAAGAUUUAAGAUUGUAGCCUUGAAAGAGGUUCUCUUGUCUGAAUUGAAAACAGCUCCUGUCGGGCAAAAGGGAAUCCGGUUCCUAUUCCGGAACCCGGCUGCGUAACCGCUACUUUGCGGGCACUUGCUUGCGAGCGCUCGUCGGGGUAACCCAAACUGGCCUGGAGACGCCGGCGGGGGGUCUGGAAAGAGUUUUCUUUUCUUUAUAAGCGUUCGAGUACCCUGGAAUCCUAUAGCAGGGAGAUAGGGUUUGGAACGCGAAGAGCACCGCAGUUGCGGCGGUGUCCGGACCUUCCCCCCGGACCUUGAAAAUCCAGGUGAGGGCCACGCGGAAGUCGCGCCGG